rnacentral:rRNA from 1 species
GACGUAGGGCGCGAGCGUUGUCCGGAUUUAUUGGGCGUAAAGAGCUCGUAGGCGGCUUGUCGCGUCGAAUGUGAAAACCUGCAGCUCAACUGCAGGCUUGCAUUCGAUACGGGCAGGCUCGAGUUUGGUAGAGGCAGAUGGAAUUCCGGGUGUAGCGGUGGAAUGCGUAGAGAUCCGGAGGAACACCAAAGGCGAAGGCAGUGUCCUGGGGAGUACCUGACGCUCAGGUGCGAAAGCCAGGGGAGCGAACGGG